AAUGAACGAAGGAAGACGGAAAUCCUAAAAUGCAAAGAUUUGAAGACAGUUUGAACAGGAUAGGAGGAGAUAUCAGAAAGAAUAGAAGAACGAAAAUGCAGAGAAAUGGAAGAACAAAAUUGACGUCAGAUUUUUUUUUUGGAAUAGAGAGAAAAAUUUGAAAAAAAAACAAAAUAAACAAUUUGAUUACAAUCCCAACUCCCCACUAACAACUUAACCUCAACUACCUCAGAAUUUCAAGACCACUCAAACUCUCUCAACCAACCGAAACAAAAAUUAACACCUUUGCUCCCACAGAGAUUCAAACACAAGACCUCCAACACAACAACCCCUUACCACUCGA
rnacentral:lncRNA from 1 species